UUCGCAAUGCCCGAAAGGGUGACGAAGCGACGCCGCGUGCGGGAAGAAGGCCUUCGGGUUGUAAACCGCUGUCGGGAGUUAAGAAAUGUAAGGAUGUUAAUAGCAUCUUUGCUUGACUAAGGCUCCGGAGGAAGCCACGGCUAACUCUGUGCCAGCAGCCGCGGUAAUACAGAGGCGGCAAGCGUUGUUCGGAAUUAUUGGGCGUAAAGGGCACGUAGGCGGCUAUGUAAGUCGGUUGUGAAAGCCUUCCGCUCAACGGGAGAACAGCAUCCGAUACUGCAUGGCUUGAGUGCGGGAGGGGAGAGUGGAACUUCUGGUGGAGCGGUGAAAUGCGUAGAUAUCAGAAGGAACGCCGGCGGCGAAAGCGGCUCUCUGGCCCAUAACUGACGCUGAGUGUGCGAAAGCUAGGGGAGCAAACGGGAUUAGAUACCCCGGUAGUCCUAGCCGUAAACGAUGGGCACUAAGUAGAGGGGUUUU
rnacentral:rRNA from 1 species